AGCGAACGCUGGCGGCAGGCCUAACACAUGCAAGUCGAGCGCCCAGCAAUGGGAGCGGCAGACGGGAUAGUAACACGUGGGAACGUACCCUUCAGUUCGGAACAACCCAGGGAAACUUGGGCUAAUACCGAAUACGUCCGUAAGGAGAAAGAUUUAUCGCUGAAGGAUCGGCCCGCGUCUGAUUAGCUAGUUGGUGAGGUAACGGCUCACCAAGGCGACGAUCAGUAGCNGGUCUGAGAGGAUGAUCAGCAUCACUGGGACUGAGACACGGCCCAGACUCCUACGGGAGGCAGCAGUGGGGAAUAUUGGACAAUGGGCGCAAGCCUGAUCCAGCCAUGCCGCGUGGAUGAUGAAGGCCCUAGGGUUGUAAAGUCCUUUCGGCGGGGAAGAUAAUGACGGUACCCGCAGAAGAAGCCCCGGCUAACUUCGUGCCAGCCGCCGCCGUAAC
rnacentral:rRNA from 1 species